rnacentral:lncRNA from 1 species
UUCAAAGCCCAUGAUAAUUAUGAUAUUUUCACACCACAUUCAAAUGUCAAACCAACCUUUAAACCAAUUUCAAUUACAUCCAUCAUCCUUCAAUGUCCAAACCAAUAUGAUUUCCAUUCAAAACAAAAUCAUACAUUACAACCAAUUGCCAUGAUACACAUCCAAUUCGAUUAACCAUUAAAUAUCCAACUUACAAUCACAAGCAAAUUCAUUCAUUACCUUAUUCAACCAAGUUACAAUACAAACAUGCCAUUGCAUCUAUGACCUAAUGUUAAAUUGUGUACAUCGCCAUUUCAAACCACAUCACCAUUAAAGCAAAGUUCAAAGUCUUCUCCAUUUCCAAUGGUCCGUAGAAGUUCCUAGCCGCCUUGAUUCAUGCCAACAUGUCCAUGAUAAUAGCUCCAUAUGACAUCCUGCCAUGAUCUAUUCUAUCCAUUCCACAAACAGUCCAACCAAAGUCAUGGUAGCCAAACACAUACGACCUGCAUCAUUAACAAUUCCAAAACGUCACAUACUAAUUCAUGAAAACAACCCAUAUUUAUAAUUGCUAAGCAUACUAACAUCCUAUAACAUCUUCACUUGCAAGAAAUGCAUCUUAUUAACAAUAAUCCAAGCAUUAUAACAUAGCUUACAUAACAUUCAUCAUCACUAAUUUACCAUGACAACAAAUUUCCAAAGUAAUGCAUUAAACCUAGUAACUAACAAUCAUAUUAGAAACAACAAAACUCACCACAAGCAAGCAAAUCCACACGCCAAUUAACAUGCCUUGAAAAUCAAACAAAUUGACAGAGUUUCCAUCAAACAAGAACGGUGCGUCACCAUGUAUGAUCCUCCCAACGACGUUACGUACCAAUCCUGCAGCAUUCAUGGGACAUGAUUAAUUGCCAAAAAAUAAAAUAAUUGACUAAGAGCUUCUCAACCAAACGGCGACAGGAACACAUAUCACUGAUACAACCAUUCUAGUUUGGCGAUAUGCAAGUCAUGAAUAGCAAGGUGCACGUAAAGUUCAUUGGAUCCAUGUACUUAAUAUGACGAACCCAGUGCAGAAACGCACCCCAACAAGAAAUUAACCUACUAUAAACAAAGGCAUCGGGAAUUACAAUAUCAUAACACACUUAGCCGCUCCAAAGGUCGGUACCGAAAGCGAAACCGCUGAUAAAAGUUUCUCGAGUAAAGGUGGAAAUAGACAUCGUCCAAUUACCUCAGAGUUGUUGUCGAGACGUGGUUUGGCCCCAGAUUUUUGUCACCUAUCCGCUUGAUAUUACCCUCGAGGCAAUCAUAAACGACUUGGAGCGCUUCAUUUCCCCCAUAUUUACCACCUCUGAAUAAUGGAAUAGCCUGCAAAAAGGGAACAUUGAUAGUGGGCUGUUUUAAACUAGGCUAUUGGAAACCAAUCGAAAGCAAAAACACAAAGACCUCACCAUUACAACAUAGGUAAUGUCUGCAAAAAUCUGUGCUGGCUGCCUCGUAAAUCCAAAGUGAGACCUGCUUACACCUGCUGUAUCGGUCUAGAGUUCCUUGACCAUCAUGAAGUCAUUUGCAAAAAACCCGCUAUGCAUUUUGCUCUGCAGCAUGCCAAGCUAGAGCUUCAAUGUACAUAACCCUGCAAAUAAUUAACUGCAAAAACUCACUCAUUAAAUCACAAAAGGAGGCGGCCCAUUCUAACUAACCUAAGGGUAACCCAUUGGAUCAUUACUCAACCAUUUGAACUGGUAGUUACAACAAAUUAACCACCCUAACAGAUUUGUGAUUUUUCUAACUAACUCGAGUUUGGGGUGAAGACGAAUGGGAAUUUCAAAACUGAAUAACUGGAAAGGUAAUAAAUACUUACCAAGCCUCAUUCACAAAGGAUCGAAUUUUUGGAUUCUCACCCUCCUUUGCAAUUUUCGCUGCCCCUUUCUCUUACUUUCACUCCAAAGCUCAUUCUGGAUUGUUGUUUAGAGCUCCUCAUUGAAGUUCUGAAAUAAUAAGAGCUAAACCUCCUUUUCCGAGACAAGAAGAAGAAGAAGAAGAAGGCGAGGUCGCGAAGGAUUCAUACCGGAAACGCCGCCAUCCUUGGUCUACGUCGCCGUCUUCUAUCUUCAACGCCUUCCAGAUUAGAUCUCCGUUCUACAGGUAGGCUCGAUCCACCUUUCUUUCUUAAUAUUUUUGUCAUAGGCGUGUGUAAUCACCCGGAGUAGUGGAAGCCCUAACGCAAGAGGCUCCAAUUCCCUUCGAUUCUCGCCUAUUUCAGGCUUCAAGACUUAGGGUUUGGUAUUGGUAACGCGAAAACGUAUCGUAUUUUUUUUGACUCCAUAUGCAUUUCUUUUACUCGAUUAACAUUUAUUAUUACGCAAUAUUUCAUGUUUAUUACAGGUAUUUAUCGAUUAAAAGGUUUACCGCAAGCAAAAAGGAAAGAAAAAGGGAAGCAAAAGAGAAGAAAAUGAGGCUUUCAAAUGGAUAAUGGGCCACCAAAGCAAAUGGGCUUGUGGCGCCCAUUAUCCAAGGAGUGUGGCGCCCUCCACAUUGGACCAUGAGGAAGGUGUCGCCCGCCACCAGCCCUUGAGAAGUGGUUGCUACAAAGGUGGCGCUCGCCACUCAUUAAGAAGCUAGGGUUGUGGCAACCGCCACAACCUAGUCUUCCACUAUUUUCUCCACUUUUUAUGCCACGAUUGCCACCACCUUGCUACAUUUUAGGGAUUACGGAAAAGAUAUAAAAAUGGACCUCUCAGACUCCCAGGACUCUCUCUCUUCUUCCAAUUUCAAGUUCACGAUUAAUUUUGUUCAGCACAAUUUUUUUCUUUUAGUUUUCUAGGCAGUUUUCUUACCUUGUAAAAGUGAUAGUUUCUCCACAUCAGGGACUAUUACGGUUUAUUAGUUUUUACGCAUUUGGGAUUCAAUUGUAAGGGUUAUUCAUUGCCAAAGCCUGCCG